AGUGAACGCUGGCGGUAGGCCUAACACAUGCAAGUCGAACGGCAGCACAGUAAGAGCUUGCUCUUACGGGUGGCGAGUGGCGGACGGGUGAGGAAUACAUCGGAAUCUACUUUUUCGUGGGGGAUAACGUAGGGAAACUUACGCUAAUACCGCAUACGUCCUACGGGUGAAAGCAGUGGAUCUUCGCACCUUUCGCGAUUCAAUUAGCCGAUGUCGGAUUAGCUAGUUGGCUGGGUAAAGGCCCACCAAGGCGACGAUCCGUAGCUGAUCUGAGAGGAUGAUCGGCCACACUGGAACUGAGACACGGUCCAGACUCCUACGGGAGGCAGCAGUGGGGAAUAUUGGACAAUGGGCGCAAGCCUGAUCCAGCCAUACCGCGUGGGUGAAGAAGGCCUUCGGGUUGUAAAGCCCUUUUGUUGGGAAAGAAAAGCAGCAGGUUAAUACCCCGCUGUUUUGACGGUACCCAAAGAAUAAGCACCGGCUAACUUCGUG
rnacentral:rRNA from 1 species